rnacentral:rRNA from 1 species
UCUACGGGGGGCAGCAGUGAGGAAUAUUGGUCAAUGGGCGAGAGCCUGAACCAGCCAAGUCGCGUGAGGGAGUACUGCCCUAUGGGUUGUAAACCUCUUUUGUCGGGGAGCAAAAGCCGGACGUGUCCGGCUGUGAGAGUACCCGAAGAAAAAGCAUCGGCUAACUCCGUGCCAGCAGCCGCGGUAAUACGUAGGUGGCAAGCGUUGUCCGGAUUUACUGGGUGUAAAGGGCGUGCAGCCGGAGAGACAAGUCAGAUGUGAAAUCCACGGGCUCAACCCGUGAACUGCAUUUGAAACUGUUUCCCUUGAGUGUCGGAGAGGUAAUCGGAAUUCCUUGUGUAGCGGUGAAAUGCGUAGAUAUAAGGAAGAACACCAGUGGCGAAGGCGGAUUACUGGACGAUAACUGACGGUGAGGCGCGAAAGCGUGGGGAGCAAACAGGAUUAGAUACCCGUGUAGUC